rnacentral:rRNA from 1 species
AAGUCUUGACAUAUUACGGCGGAACUUAGAGAUAAGUUCUUAUGACUUCGGUCAACUGUAAUACAGGUGGUGCAUGGUU